CACACAUGCAGUCGAGCGAAUGACAGGGAGCUUGCUCCCUUGACUUAGCAGCGGACGGGUGAGUAACACGUGGGCAACCUGCCCUGCAGACUGGGAUAACUUCGGGAAACCGGAGCUAAUACCGGAUAAUCCAUUUUACCUCAUGGGGAAAUGUUGAAAGGCGCUUUCGCGCCACUGCAGGAUGGGCCCGCGGUGCAUUAGCUAGUUGGUGGGGUAACGGCCUACCAAGGCGACGAUGCAUAGCCGACCUGAGAGGGUGAUCGGCCACAUUGGGACUGAGACACGGCCCAAACUCCUACGGGAGGCAGCAGUAGGGAAUCUUCCACAAUGGACGAAAGUCUGAUGGAGCAACGCCGCGUGAGUGAUGAAGGUUUUCGGAUCGUAAAACUCUGUUGUAAGGGAAGAACAAGUACGUUAGGAAAUGAACGUACCUUGACGGUACCUUAUUAGAAAGCCACGGCUAACUACGUGCCAGCAGCCGCGGUAAUACGUAGGUGGCAAGCGUUGUCCGGAUUUAUUGGGCGUAAAGCGCGCGCAGGUGGUUUCUUAAGUCUGAUGUGAAAUCUCGCGGCUCAACCGCGAGCGGUCAUUGGAAACUGGGGAACUUGAGUGCAGAAGAGGAUAGUGGAAUUCCAAGUGUAGCGGUGAAAUGCGUAGAGAUUUGGAGGAACACCAGUGGCGAAGGCGACUGUCUGGUCUGUAACUAAACACUGAGGCGCGAAAGCGUGGGGAGCAAACAGGAUUAGAUACCCUGGUAGUCCACUGCCGUAAACGAUGAGUGCUAAGUGUUAGGGGGUUUCCGCCCCUUAGUGCUGCAGCUAACGCAUUAAGCACUCCGCCUGGGGAGUACGACCGCAAGGUUGAAACUCAAAGGAAUUGACGGGGGCCCGCACAAGCGGUGGAAGCAUGUGGUUUAAUUCGAAUGAACGCGAAGAACCUUACCAGGUCUUGACAUCCCAGUGACCGCUCUAGAGAUAGAGUUUUCCCUUC
rnacentral:rRNA from 1 species